GACGAACGCUGGCGGCGUGCUUAACACAUGCAAGUCGAACGGAAAGGCCCUGCUUUUGUGGGGUGCUCGAGUGGCGAACGGGUGAGUAACACGUGAGUAACCUGCCCUUGACUUUGGGAUAACUUCAGGAAACUGGGGCUAAUACCGGAUAGGAGCUCCUGCUGCAUGGUGGGGGUUGGAAAGUUUCGGCGGUUGGGGAUGGACUCGCGGCUUAUCAGCUUGUUGGUGGGGUAGUGGCUUACCAAGGCUUUGACGGGUAGCCGGCCUGAGAGGGUGACCGGAGACAUUGGGACUGCGAUAGGGCCCAGACUCGUACGGGAGGCAGCAGUGGGGAGUAUUGCACAGUGGGGGGAAGCGUGAGGAGGAAGCGCGCGGUGCGGGAUGCCGGCUUUCGGGUUGUAAACCGAUUUGGCCUGUGCUGAAGCGUGCGUGACGGUAAUGGGUAAAGAAGCACCGGCUAACUACGUG
rnacentral:rRNA from 1 species